GGGCAUUAAUUUGUUGUUUAUCUCGCGCUAAUCCUGCCGUCGACGACUCUGAUAUUGCUUGGUGCUUGGUCAUGAUUUACAUUUGAGUGAGUGGUGAACUGGUGAGUAACACGUGGGAAACCUGCCCAGAAGCGGAACGUAAAACCUGACCGCAGAUGCUCAUACCGCAUAACAACUUGAACCGCGUGCUCCUUGCCAUCGGGGGGGCUUCGAUUAUCACUUUUGGGGGGGGCGGGGGCGGAUCAGCUAGGUGGGGAUCCCUAGCCUCACCGUGACGAUGACCAGCCACACUGCUACUGAGACACGCUCCAGACUCCUACACUGAGAAGCGGUCCAAACUCUUACGCAAUGGGCGCAAGUGUAAUCUUCCACAACGGACGGAAUCUGAAGGCCUACGCCUCGUAAGUAAUUUAGGCUUUCGGCUCGUAAAAUCUGUUAGUAAAUAGACUUGGGCGGGAGGGCAAAAAAAAAAGGUAUUGUCGGUCUCUGACCAGAAAGCCCACGGAAUAACUACGUGCCAGCAGCCGCGGUAAUAGUGG
rnacentral:rRNA from 1 species